UUUUGAUUUCUUUUGUCCUUUUAUGUUUUAAAGAUUUUUUUUCCUGUUUUUUUGUGUGAAUUUUUUUCCUCUCUUAUUGAUCUUUUUCUGUGAUUAUGAAUGAUUUGAAGCAGUUCUAUAGGUUUUCUUUUAAUCGAUUAAAUGGUUUUUGGGUUUUUUCUAUGAUUUUUUAAAAAAUUCUUUUCUGAUAUUUUCCUGAGGAAUUGAAGGAAAAUGAAAGAGCUUUUUAACCAGAUAAUAAUGGUAACAUUAAAGUUAAAUUUCGGGAUUUUUUUUUCAUUAUUUUCUUGCGAAAUCAUUUAAAUCAUUCUCAUUUUUUUUUUCCUUCAAAAUCAUCCUGAUCGUGUUUUUUCUGUCCUUUGGACUUAUUGGCAUUACUAAUUAUAAUUUUCGUGUGGUGGUCUUUUCGGUUCUGG
rnacentral:misc_RNA from 1 species